UAUGUGAUCGUCUCUCGCAUAUCAAUAAGCGGAGGAAAAGAAACUAACAAGGAUUCCCCUAGUAACGGCGAGUGAAGCGGGAAGAGCUCAAAUUUGAAAUCUUAAAGGGUUUCCCUUUACGAAUUGUAGUUUAAAGAAGUGUUUUCUGUUGAGGUUUUGGUAAAAGUUCUUUGGAAUAGGGCAUCAUAGAGGGUGAGAAUCCCGUAUUUGACCUUUACUUUCAACUUUGUGAUACACUUUCAAAGAGUCGGAUUGUUUGGGAAUGCAGUCCAAAAUGGGUGGUAAAUUUCAUCUAAAGCUAAAUAUUGGCGAGAGACCGAUAGCGAACAAGUACCGUGAGGGGAAGAUGAAAAGAACUUUGAAAAGAGAGUUAAACAGUACGUGAAAUUGUCAAAAGGGAAGCGUUUGACACCAGUGUUGUUUUUCUGAAAAUCAAUUAAAGAACUGUUUAUGCUAAGUUGUUUAGACUUUAUCAGCUAACUGUUUAGUUUUGAGCUUUUCUUUAAUGCACUUUUCAGUUAACAAGUCAACAUCAAUUUCUUUUGCUGUAAAAAAGCUUGAGGAAGGUGGCUUGAGAUUCGUCUUAAGUGUUUAUAGCCUCUUGCCUAUGCAGUCGGAGAGAUUGAGGUCUGCAGCGUAGAUCCUUCGGGGCUAAAUGCAUUUGUGCUAAGUUAUAGCAUUUCAUAGACAACUUGUUGACUAUGAUUUGUCUAUGUAGCUUACUCGCUUAUGUUAUUUUACCUACGCUUAGGAUGUUGAUCUACAGAGCGAGAGU
rnacentral:rRNA from 1 species